rnacentral:rRNA from 1 species
UAGGGAAUCUUCCGCAAUGGACGCAAGUCUGACGGAGCAACGCCGCGUGAGUGAAGAAGGAUUUCGGUUCGUAAAACUCUGUUGUUAGAGAAGAACAGCGCAUAGAGUAACUGUUAUGCGUGUGACGGUAUUUAACCAGAAAGCCACGGCUAACUACGUGCCAGCAGCCGCGGUUAUACGUAGGUGGCAAGCGUUGUCCGGAUUUAUUGGGCGUAAAGCGAGCGCAGGCGGUCAAUUAAGUCUGAUGUGAAAGCCCCCGGCUCAACCGGGGAGGGUCAUUGGAAACUGGUUGACUUGAGUGCAGAAGAGGAGAGUGGAAUUCCAUGUGUAGCGGUGAAAUGCGUAGAUAUAUGGAGGAACACCAGUGGCGAAAGCGGCUCUCUAGUCUGAAACAGACGCUGAGGCUCGAAAGCGUGGGGAGCGAACAGG